UACGUAGGGUGCAAGCGUUGUCCGGAAUUAUUGGGCGUAAAGAGCGUGUAGGCGGCCCGAUUAGUCCGCUGUGAAAGUCCAGGGCUCAACCCUGGGAUGCCGGUGGAUACUGUCGGGCUCGAGUCCGGAAGAGGCGAGUGGAAUUCCUGGUGUAGCGGUGAAAUGCGCAGAUAUCAGGAAGAACACCCGUGGCUAAGGCGGCUCUCUAGUACGGUACUGACGCUGAGACGCGAAAGCGUGGGGAGCGAACAGG
rnacentral:rRNA from 1 species